ACCUCCAGGGGUGCGAGCACAUGCAAGCAAUGUCUGGCUGUCCACCCCAGCUGUGCAUGGUGCGUUCAAGAGGUAUUCGGUCAAGGGGAGGGCAGCUCUUCCCGCUGCGACCGGAAAGCCAACCUGGUGGCCGCGGGCUGCGCUGCUUCGGCCGUGGAGUCUCCGAACAGCAGAAUGCAGGUGAUAGAGGACCGGCCCCUCAGCAAGAAGGCGGCGGGUGCCACGCAGGACGUGACCCAGAUCAAGCCCCAGAAACUCCACAUUAGCCUCAGGCCCGACGAUGCCAAGCGCUUUACCUUGAAGGUGCGCCAGGUGGAAGACUACCCCGUGGACCUUUACUACCUUAUGGACCUCUCAUACUCCAUGAACGACGACCUCUACCGCUUGAGGACGCUGGGCAAGGGCCUGGCCGAAGCCAUGAACCGCACCACCAGCAACCUCCGCAUGGGCUUUGGAGCCUUUGUGGACAAGCCGAUCUCCCCUUACAUGUACAUCUCCCCCAAGGAGGCAGUCAAGAACCCUUGUUACAGCAUAAACACCACCUGCCGGCCACAGUUUGGUUACAAGCAUGUCUUGUCGCUGACGGAUAAAGUGAGCCGCUUCACCGAGGAAGUGAGGAAACAGAUGGUAUCCAGGAACCGGGAUGCCCCCGAGGGAGGCUUCGACGCCAUCCUACAGGCGGCCGUCUGCAAGGAGCAGAUCGGCUGGCGUCCCGGAGCAUCCCACCUCCUCAUCUUCACCUCCGACGCCAAGACGCACGUGGCGCUGGACGGCCGCCUCGCCGGGAUCGUGCAGCCCAACGACGGCCGCUGCCACCUCAACUCGGCCAAACUGUACAGCAUGUCUACCAUCAUGGAUUACCCCUCCCUUGCUCUCAUCACUGAGAAGAUGUCAGAGAACAAUAUCAAUCUCAUCUUUGCUGUCACCAACCCUGUGGUUUCUUUGUACCAGAACUACAGCGAGCUGAUUCCCGGCACCACUGUGGGAACAUUGUCCAACGAUUCCGGCAAUGUUAUUCAGCUCAUUUUGAAGGCCUACGCAAAAAUACGCUCCAAAGUGGAGCUGGAGCUUCUGGGAGUCCCGGAGGAGCUUUCCCUCUCCUUCAACGCCACGUGUUUGAACGGAGAAGUUAUCCCAGGCCUCAAGUCCUGCUCUGGACUCAAGAUCGGCGACACGGUGUCCUUCAGCGUGGAGGUCCGAGCACGAGCCUGCCCCAAACAGAAGAAGAAGAAGACCUUCAUCAUCAAGCCGCUUGGCUUUAAGGACUCGCUGUCCAUCACCGUCACCAUUGAGUGCGACUGCAAGUGCCAGAACAAGGCUCAGCCCAACAGCCCCAAGUGUCACCACGGCAACGGCACCUUCCAGUGUGGCAUCUGCAUGUGCCACCCAGGACGGCUGGGCCCGCACUGCGAGUGCGCCGAGGGUGACUACGGCCCGGCCGAGCAGGACCACUGCACGGAGCCCGGUGCGUCGGGCGUCUGCAGCGGGCGCGGCGACUGCGUGUGCGGCCAGUGCGUGUGCCACAGCAGCGACUUUGGCAAAGUGUGGGGGAAAUUGUGCGAGUGCGACGACUUCAACUGCCUUCGCUACAAGGGCGAGCUCUGCUCCGGCCACGGCACGUGCAACUGCGGCUUCUGCCAGUGCGCCCCCGACUGGCAGGGGGAGAACUGCAACUGCUCCACGCGUACUGACACCUGCAUGUCGCAGCUCGGCUUGCUGUGCAGCGGGCGCGGCCAGUGCGCGUGCGGCACCUGUGAGUGCACCCAGCCCGGAGCCUACGGGGCCACCUGCGACAAAUGCCCCACCUGCCCCGACGCGUGCACCAUGAAAAAAGAAUGUGUAGAGUGUAAACAUUUCAAAAGAGGCAAGCUCUUUGACGACAACACCUGCGCUCGCAUUUGCAAGGAUGAGAUUGUGCUCAUGGAAGAAUUAGUGCUUCAUGACACAAACGCCGUGAACUGCACCUACAAGGACGAGGACGACUGCGUGCAGCGGUUCCAGUAUUACGAGGACGCCAGCGGCAAGGCCAUCUUGUUUGUCGUCAAGGAGCCAGACUGUCCCGAGGGUCCCGACGUCUUGGUGGUGCUGCUCUCCGUGGCGGGGGCCAUUUUGUUCCUGGGCUUGGCCACGCUGCUCAUUUGGAAGCUGCUGAUCACCAUUCACGACAGGCGGGAGUUUGCCAAGUUUGAAGAAGAGCGCGCACGGGCCAAGUGGGACACGGGACACAAUCCUCUUUAUAAAGGGGCCACGUCGACCUUCACAAACAUCACAUACAGAGGAAAAGACUGACGCUGGCUGAAAACGUUCCAAGGACGAAACGGACUUUCACCGUCGGAAGUCCCGCAACCAUGUGCAGAUUUCAGCCUGGAUGUGUCUAAUCUGCCCGAGGUCUCACCAGAAUUCGUCCUCAGUGCGCCACAGCGCUAGCACUUGAUGAUAUCAAAAGUAUUUGUCUUUACAAGCAAUUUCGACGAGCAAAAUGGGGACUCUGGCAGCCCUCUGGCGUGCAAGAACAAAGGGAAACAAUACCUGACUGGAGUGGUGAGGUGGGGAUAUGGCUGCGUACAGCCCAAUAAGCCCGGCGUCUACGUCGAUGUCUACAAGUUUGUUGACUGGAUUCGACGCAACAUCACCUGAUCCUUGGCCAACCGUAAUACAAUAAGCAUCCAAUUUUUUUUUUUUUUUAUCUCAAUGGAUAAUUAGCUAUAUUAAGUAUAAACCCUGAAUCCUAAACACUUGAGAGAAACUUUAAAUUCUUUGAAAAUGGGGCCAUUUUUGGUCCUCCUGGACAAGAGACAAAAUCUGUUACUUUAUACAAAUAAUAAUACCUUAUCUGACAAGCCAAAUUUUCAUUUUUCAUUAUUGGAAUCACAUCAUUGUGGUUGUUGUGUGGUGGCUGCAACACAUUAAUGACAUCUCAAAUCAUUUCAAUAAGGAAAACCGACAUGUUAGUAAAAGCAAACUGAGUUCCGAGCUUAACAUUAAACUGUGAAGUCAAGGUACCACUAUAUGAUUUCCAAUUUAUUACAUGUAUAAAUUCUUCAUGUGCUGACGUGCGAUGUGUGUCAUGGACCAAAAUAAGCAGUUUUUUUUUUUUUUUUUUGCUUCUGCCCAUUCCAUUUUGGUUGUUGAAAGGGACCCUUGUAUUCAGUUGUAUUUGUUGCUAAC